rfam:Papilio xuthus contig17477, whole genome shotgun sequence.
AAGACCUUACUUUAUAGGAUCAUUUCUAUAGUAAGUUCGUCACGAGACCUUAAUAAUAUAUGGUAUUUUAAAAAAGU